AGUGAACGCUGGCGGUAGGCCUAACACAUGCAAGUCGAACGGCAGCACAGUAAGAGCUUGCUCUUACGGGUGGCGAGUGGCGGACGGGUGAGGAAUACAUCGGAAUCUACUUUUUCGUGGGGGAUAACGUAGGGAAACUUACGCUAAUACCGCAUACGACCUACGGGUGAAAGCAGGGGAUCUUCGGACCUUGCGCGAUUGAAUGAGCCGAUGUCGGAUUAGCUAGUUGGCGGGGUAAAGGCCCACCAAGGCGACGAUCCGUAGCUGGUCGGAGAGGAGGGUAAGCCACACUGGAACUGAGACACGGUCCAGACUCCUACGGGAGGCAGCAGUGGGGAAUAUUGGACAAUGGGCGCAAGCCUGAUCCAGCCAUACCGCGUGGGUGAAGAAGGCCUUCGGGUUGUAAAGCCCUUUUGUUGGGAAAGAAAAGCAGCAGGUUAAUACCCCGCUGUUCUGACGGUACCCAAAGAAUAAGCACCGGCUAACUUCGUG
rnacentral:rRNA from 1 species